UACGUAGGGUGCAAGCGUAAUCGGAAUUACUGGGCGUAAAGCGUGCGCAGGCGGUGAUGUAAGACAGAUGUGAAAUCCCCGGGCUCAACCUGGGAACUGCAUUGUGACUGCAUCGCUGGAGUGCGGCAGAGGGGGAUGGAAUUCCGCGUGUAGCAGUGAAAUGCGUAGAUAUGCGGAGGAACACCGAUGGCGAAGGCAAUCCCCUGGGCCUGCACUGACGCUCAUGCACGAAAGCCGUGGGGAGCAAACAGG
rnacentral:rRNA from 1 species